GUGCAGCAGAGAGCUGGGCGAUGAGCCGGGUGGGGUGGGGGUCAGCCUGCUCCAGGCAGGGGAGGCAGACAGCACCCCGGCCAGGGACAGAGCUGGUGCACCCGGCACGCGUGUAGUGACGUGCAGCCGCUGCGUGACGGGAGACGGAGCCCACCGCCCCUCCGGGGAGCUCUUCCCCCAAACCCACCAUGUUGGUCUCACCAGGAGAAAGCAUUAGAGAGUACAAGGUUUUAUAAAAUCCGUGACCAGAAUCCAAUCUUGACAAUUUCUCAUUCUUUUACUUUAUUGAAAAUUUCUCCAUCUUUUUAUUUUCUUUUUUGGCCAACUUUUCAGUCUUUCUAUUAAAAUAAUCACCUCCAGUUGUCAGAGUUUGGAGGAUGCGGUGAGGAGACCCGGUGACCACACGCAGUGUGAUAUCCUGGGACAGAAGGAGGACGCUGAGGGAAACCCAAGUCCGAAUCAAGCCUUUCAUUCAGCUCGUCACAUGGUAUCACCGUGAAUUUCUCAGAGCCACAGACGACUUAAUAAGCACAUCAAUGUGAGCUGCGUUAGCAGAGGGGGAGCGGGUGACAGGCAUGUGGACGCUCGCUGUGGCGUCUCUUCAGCUCUUCUGUAAAUCUAAAAUUAUUUCAAGACACAAAGCAAAACAAGUAAUACUUCCAAGCCUCUAUUUCAGUGAUCUAUAUUUGCAGCAUUAAUGAGCUACAAGAAAAACAACAUGAAAAAGUCCAGCCGAUGAAGCGUCGGGGACACUCUUGGGGCCUUCCUGAGUGUGGUGGGGAAUGAAGCGUGACUGAAGGACAAACCCCCUCAAAGCCGAGCUGCUGUGGACCCCGGGCUCUAAAGUCCCUGAUACACCGGCUGCACCUCUCCAGGCCACAGCCUCUGUCCCACCUGGGCUCCAUCUGUGGGCUCAGGGGUCACCCAGGCCAGGCCCGUCUGGGUUCCCUGGAGCCUUACCCUAUAGUACAUGGCCACCAUAGCUGAGGGAACCCACGUGUGGGGGAUGGAUUUCCAGGCUGGAAGCCUCCGGCAAUGCUGUCCACCUGGUGGGUCCCCUUCUGUGUGUCUGCCUUUCCCUGUGACAGCUCUGGCCAUGUCACCGACAAACACCUCUGGGUCUCGGCCGCCGCCACACGCUCCUGCGCACCGCCCACCUGGAGGCACCACCCCAGAGACACGAGCCUCGUUCUUCUGAAGAGCCGUAGUCUACACCUUUAUUUUAUUCCGGAGAGUCAUUAAAGGGAACCAAAUCCGUAUCGGGGCAAUGUCUGCUUUGGGGCCCAGUGUCCCCCCAGUUUGUCAGAUAGCCGUGCUUCUGCGUCGCUGCCUCCUCCACCCUAAAAUCUCAGCCGAGGAGGCCCAGGAGGACACUUGGAAUAUGCAGAGGGGGAGACGUGGACGAGGGAUGACCAACAAACCAAUAAAACCCUGACCUGGAGGCGAAGGUUCUAAACACGGAGUGGGGAGUCACCGGUGUGGGGUCUCCUUCACAAGCGGCCUUCGAAAUCAGAAGAGAUUCCUUCCCUGCUUAUGCCAGGGGAACUAAGAAUCAGCCCACAGGCAGUGGAUUGGCCAAAGUGACCUUUCAGGACGCUGGCCUUGUGCCUCUAACAUCUCCCGAAGAGCUGAUGAAGCCGAGCCACUUGCUGUUGUGUGUUGAAAAUGGUGCAAGACCCUACACAAUCAUCCCUGAACCCAUAAUGCUGAUGCUCUGAUGUAAAAGGAAUAUUUUCCCCUUGAGAUAAAAUGCCAUCAGAUGCCAUCUGUGCCGCCUGUAAUUUUAGCCAUAAAUCCUCGUUGUAUUUAUUGGAGAUUUGUUUUUCAAGAUGGCUAAUUUUAGUCUCCAAUUCAACCGCACACUAAUUUUCUUGUUUCUUUCUUGCUGAGAAAUCUGAUAUAACAGCUCCUCAUAGAAAGGGCUUGGCAGGUUUCCAAAGCCCAACAGCCUCAUUUACUUAGAGAGAGGUUAUUUUUUCUUUCUUCCUCUCUCCCCUCUCCCUCCUUGUUUUGGUAGCACGGUUAGAAUUCAGAAGGGUUGAAAUAAAAACAGGAUU
rnacentral:lncRNA from 1 species